AUUGAACGCUGGCGGCAGGCCUAACACAUGCAAGUCGAGCGGAUGAAGGGAGCUUGCUCCUGGAUUCAGCGGCGGACGGGUGAGUAAUGCCUAGGAAUCUGCCUGGUAGUGGGGGAUAACGUCCGGAAACGGGCGCUAAUACCGCAUACGUCCUGAGGGAGAAAGUGGGGGUCUUUGGACCCUACGCUUUCAGAAGAGCCUAGGUCGGAUUAGCUAGUUGGUGGGGUAAAGGCCUACCAAGGCGACGAUCCGUAACUGGUCUGAGAGGAUGAUCAGUCACACUGGAACUGAGACACGGUCCAGACUCCUACGGGAGGCAGCAGUGGGGAAUAUUGGACAAUGGGCGAAAGCCUGAUCCAGCCAUGCCGCGUGUGUGAAGAAGGUCUUCGGAUUGUAAGCACUUUAAGUUGGGAGGAAGGGCAGUAAGUUAAUACCUUGCUGUUUUGACGUUACCAACAGAAUAAGCACCGGCUAACUUCGUG
rnacentral:rRNA from 1 species